UACGGAGGGUGCAAACGUUGCUCGGAAUCAUUGGGCGUAAAGCGCAGCGUAGGCGGUCCCAUAAGUCGGGUGUGAAACGCCCUCGGCCUUAACCGAGGAAGUGGCAUUCGAAACUGCGGGACUGAGUACCGGAGAGGGUGACGGAAUUCCCGGUGUAGAGGUGAAAUCGUAGAUAUCGGGAGGAACACCAGUGGCGAAGGC
rnacentral:rRNA from 1 species